CGUAACGCGUAUGCAAUCUACCUUUUACAGAGGGAUAGCCCAGAGAAAUUUGGAUUAAUACCUCAUAGUAUUAUUGAAUGGCAUCAUUUAAUAAUUAAAGUCACAACGGUAAAAGAUGAGCAUGCGUCCCAUUAGCUAGAUGGUAAGGUAACGGCUUACCAUGGCAACGAUGGGUAGGGGUCCUGAGAGGGAGAUCCCCCACACUGGUACUGAGACACGGACCAGACUCCUACGGGAGGCAGCAGUGAGGAAUAUUGGUCAAUGGGCGCAAGCCUGAACCAGCCAUGCCGCGUGCAGGAUGAAGCAUCUAUGGUGUGUAAACUGCUUUUGUACGAGAAGAAACACUCCUUCGUGAAGGAGCUUGACGGUAUCGUAAGAAUAAGGACCGGCUAACUCCGUGCCAGCAGCCGCGGUAAUACGGAGGGUCCAAGCGUUAUCCGGAAUCAUUGGGUUUAAAGGGUCCGUAGGCGGUUUUGUAAGUCAGUGGUGAAAGCCCAUCGCUCAACGGUGGAACGGCCAUUGAUACUGCAAGACUUGAAUUAUUAGGAAGUAACUAGAAUAUGUAGUGUAGCGGUGAAAUGCUUAGAGAUUACAUGGAAUACCAAUUGCGAAGGCAGGUUACUACUAAUGGAUUGACGCUGAUGGACGAAAGCGUGGGGAGCGAACAGGAUUAGAUACCCUGGUAGUCCACGCCGUAAACGAUGGAUACUAGCUGUUCGGAGCAAUCUGAGUGGCUAAGCGAAAGUGAUAAGUAUCCCACCCUGGGAGUACGUUCGCAAGAAUGAAACUCAA
rnacentral:rRNA from 1 species